rnacentral:rRNA from 1 species
CAGCCAGACUCCUACGGGAGGCAGCAGUGGGGAAUAUUGCACAAUGGGGGAAACCCUGAUGCAGCGACGCCGCGUGAGCGAUGAAGUAUUUCGGUAUGUAAAGCUCUAUCAGCAGGGAAGAAAAUGACGGUACCUGACUAAGAAGCCCCGGCUAACUACGUGCCAGCAGCCGCGGUAAUACGUAGGGGGCAAGCGUUAUCCGGAUUUACUGGGUGUAAAGGGAGCGUAGACGGCGGUGCAAGCCAGAUGUGAAAGCCUGGGGCUCAACCCCGGGACUGCAUUUGGAACUGUGCUGCUAGAGUGUCGGAGAGGCAGGCGGAAUUCCUAGUGUAGCGGUGAAAUGCGUAGAUAUUAGGAGGAACACCAGUGGCGAAGGCGGCCUGCUGGACGAUGACUGACGUUGAGGCUCGAAAGCGUGGGGAGCAAACAGGAUUAGAUACCCUAGUA